rnacentral:rRNA from 1 species
GGGGAUAGCCCGGCGAAAGCCGGAUUAAUACCGCAUACGACCUACGGGUGAAAGCGGGGGAUCGCAAGACCUCGCGUUAUUGGAGCGGCCGAUAUCAGAUUAGGUAGUUGGUGGGGUAAAGGCCUACCAAGCCUGCGAUCUGUAGUUGGUCUGAGAGGACGACCAGCCACACUGGGACUGAGACACGGCCCAG